rfam:Escherichia hermannii NBRC 105704 DNA, contig: EH10570417.
GUAGAUGCUCAUUCCAUCUCUUAUGUUCGCCAAAGGCCUCAUAAACCCAGGAAUGAUGCAGAGCCGUUUACCGGUGCUUAUCGUCCACCGAGAGAUGUCGCUAACGCCUCAUCAAACACCAUGGACAUAACGUUGAGUGAAGCACCUAUUUGUUGUCACAGACCUCUUUAACACCUGCCUUAUGGCAGGUGUUUUUUU